rnacentral:rRNA from 1 species
UACGAAGGGGGCUAGCGUUGCUCGGAAUCACUGGGCGUAAAGCGCACGUAGGCGGCUUCUUAAGUCAGGGGUGAAAUCCUGGAGCUCAACUCCAGAACUGCCUUUGAUACUGAGGAGCUUGAGUCCGGGAGAGGUGAGUGGAACUGCGAGUGUAGAGGUGAAAUCCGUAGAUAUUCGCAAGAACACCAGUGGCGAAGGCGGCUCACUGGCCCGGUACUGACGCUGAGGUGCGAAAGCGUGGGGAGCAAACAGG